rnacentral:rRNA from 1 species
GAUGAACGCUGGCGGCGUGCCUAAUACAUGCAAGUCGAGCGAACGGACGAGAAGCUUGCUUCUCUGAUGUUAGCGGCGGACGGGUGAGUAACACGUGGAUAACCUACCUAUAAGACUGGGAUAACUUCGGGAAACCGGAGCUAAUACCGGAUAAUAUUUUGAACCGCAUGGUUCAAAAGUGAAAGACGGUCUUGCUGUCACUUAUAGAUGGAUCCGCGCUGCAUUAGCUAGUUGGUAGGGUAACGGCUUACCAAGGCAACGAUGCAUAGCCGACCUGAGAGGGUGAUCGGCCACACUGGAACUGAGACACGGUCCAGACUCCUACGGGAGGCAGCAGUAGGGAAUCUUCCGCAAUGGGCGAAAGCCUGACGGAGCAACGCCGCGUGAGUGAUGAAGGUCUUCGGAGCGUAAAACUCUGUUAUUAGGGAAGAACAUAUGUGUAAGUAACUGUGCACAGCUUGACGGUACCUAAUCAGAAAGCCACGGCUAACUACGUG